rnacentral:rRNA from 1 species
UACGGGGGGGGCAAGCGUUGUUCGGAAUUACUGGGCGUAAAGGGCUCGUAGGUGGCCAACUAAGUCGGACGUGAAAUCCCUCAGCUUAACUGGGGAACUGCGUCCGAUACUGGAUGGCUUGAGUUUGGGAGAGGGAUGCGGAAUUCCAGGUGUAGCGGUGAAAUGCGUAGAUAUCCGGAGGAACACCGGUGGCGAAGGCGGCAUCCUGGACCGGCACUGACACUGAGGAGCGAAAGCCAGGGGAGCAAACGGG